AACUGUUUGGCUUUGGAGACGGGGAGCGGACCGGCAUAAUAUUAUUAUUUUAUCCGUGGACGCGCGCGGGACUGUGUGCGACCUAACAUUUAACAUAAUUCUUAAAUUAAAUACAUAAAUAUUAUAAUUAAAAUGGAUCACAACAAUAAAUCCGGCGCUAAAACCCAAAACACAACGCUCAUUGGAAACUACAGUCCGUGGAACUUAUUAUUCAAUUCACGACGACGAACUGAAAGUGAAAACAGCGCAAGUUCAAACUCAAGUACUGAACAAACAAGUACACAAUUCGGGUCACUUCAGAGACAGACGAGCAAAAGUAACGAGGAAUAUCUGUGGAUGAUAUGGCGCUCCUAAACGUUGGCACAUCGAUAACAAAUACGUUGCGCUGGCUGCGAUCGGGUGUUAGAUUGUAGACAAUAUGAACAUUUGGUCACCACGGGAGAAGGCAUCACGGACAUGAUGGAGCAAGCAUUCCUGCCGACAUGGUUCCUGGUUGCGUGGCUGGGAACCUGCCUACUCUUCAGUCCCUUUGCGAUAUUCUUCGUGUUGUGCCUUCCCCAAUUCCCCCUUCUAGUCCUAAGAAGGCUCUGUUAUAUACCAUUCGAGUAUAUUUGACCAAGCCUUAGCGUCGUAAUGAGAUAAUAAUAGUUUUUACGAGUCUAUAACUGUAUAUAGUGUGUAAAUAAUUGUAAGUUUUAAUUAAUUAAUGAAUAAAGCUUUAAGUAAC